UAUAAAGAGAUACGCGGGUAACGGGAUACAGAAUACAAACAAUUUUCACGAAUCACAACUACCGGGCUGGGGUAGAGUGUAUAGCUCUGGCCUCUGGAUUAUCCGGUUCCCCUUGCUUAUGCCGUAUCCUCUUCAGGCUGUGUUAGUUUCCGAUUGCAAGGGAUUAAAAUCACUUAGGACAUGGAGGGAGUGUGCCAUUGUUCAGAUUGCUGCUGUCAAGUAUUUUCAUUGCCGGAAGUGCAUAUUGGUGGUUUCACUUCCAAGGGGAUCUUCUUAUUGUUUCCUUUGUCAAUUUCACUUAGCCAGCAGCUUGCUUUGAAUGAUCAGUACAGGGCCACAUGGGAAUACUUUCUACGAUAGGCGUUGGACAUCUUGAGCUACUUGACAAGUGUUCUGAUGAAUAAAUUCUGCAAGCAAAUUAAUGAUGUUUCUAAACAUCAGUAACCUGUAAAAUUUAGAUUACUCUUUCUUAGAGUUAGCUUCUUUCUGUAUGCGUCUCUGUCUUUUCUCUUGAAGGGUGCCUGCCAAGAACAUGAUUCACUUGUUUGAACUCUGAAGAAUCGUAUGAAAGGAGUUUCCAAUUCUGUUUUAGAAGGCACUAUGAAACUUAUCUGGAAUUAAGAAUCAAAUCUGUCACUGGACUGCAUUGUGCUUCAACUAGUACCUGGGUGAUAUCAAGGUGGUUGAUAGCCCUUGUCUUACCUUGUUACUGCUUUGAGGUCUUUGGUGUGGUUUAUGUCACGACAGAAGUCAAAUCCACCCAACAUAAUCUUGGUGGCUUUGUUGUUAUUUGCAAGCCAGUGUAAAGUCAGUGGUAGAUUUUCCUGAAUCAGCCAGGACAGCAGUUUAUAUAUAGUAGCUCUAUUUUCGAGUUGUCUAACGUAGGCAGAAUACGUAUGCAUAGUCUAUGUGUGUGUUCUUCAUCUUCUACAAAUAAUAAGUCUUCUACAUUCCAGUGUAAUAAAAAAUGGACAGGUAUAAUAUAAUCAAGGAAGUUGGUAAUGGUACAUUUGGAAGUGUUUGGCGAGCAUUAAAUAAGCAAACUGGUGAUGUGGUUGCAAUAAAAAAAAUGAAGAAGAAAUAUUAUUCAUGGGAGGAGUGUGUAAACUUGAGAGAAGUCAAGUCAUUGAGGAGAAUGAGCCAUCCAAAUAUUGUAAAGCUCAAGGAAGUAAUUAGGGAACAUGACGUCUUGUUUUUUGUGUUUGAAUAUAUGGAGUGUAACCUGUACCAGCUUAUGAAGGACAGAGUAAAGCUUUUCUCAGAAGCUGAAAUUAAAAAUUGGUGCUUCCAAGUAUUUCAAGGUCUUGCACACAUGCAUCAACGGGGAUAUUUUCAUCGUGACCUUAAGCCAGAGAACUUGUUGGUUUCAAAAGAUAUAAUUAAAAUUGCUGAUUUUGGUCUUGCCCGUCAGAUCAAUUCUCAACCUCCAUAUACAGGAUACGUCUCAACACGCUGGUAUCGGGCUCCUGAAGUUCUUCUCCAGUCAACAACAUAUGGAUUUGCUGUUGAUAUGUGGGCAAUGGGUGCAAUUAUGGCUGAAUUGUUUACAAAGCAUCCUCUAUUUCCGGGUUUAAAUGAAGCAGAUGAAAUCUACAAAAUAUGCAGUGUAUUAGGCUCACCAACAAUGACAGAAUGGUCUGAGGGACUUCAACUUGCCAAUUCUAUUGGCUACCAGUUUCCACAGGCUGUUGGUUUGCAUCUUUCAGUGUUGAUACCAUCUGCUAGUGAGAACGCUAUUAAUCUUAUUACAUCACUUUGCUCAUGGGAUCCCUGCAAGAGGCCAACUGCUGUGGAGGUCCUUCAGCAUCCUUUCUUUCAGAGUUGCAUCUAUGUUCCACCAUCUCUGCGGUCUGGUGUAGCCCUCUCAAGAACCACCCAAUCUGUAGGGCGCAAUAAUAUUGGGUUCAUUUCAACUAGAACAACAGAUGCAUCGGAGCAAAAGGGCAAUAGGUUGUCCAUUGGGACUAUCUCCAAUCCAAAGUCCAUGAGUAAAACAUCAUCUCUCAAGUCACAUGCAUCCUUGAAUGCGGGUAUACAAAGAAAGUCGGAAAUAAACUCUCAGGAUGCAAUAACCAAUAAACCUCUUAAGGGUUCUCUGAAGCAGCAAUCUAAAUAUCAACCACCCGCAAGGAAUCUUCCCAUGCCAGGCCCCACGGUGAAGCCUAGUCAAGUCUCGAAUGCAGCUAAGAAGUUCACAAACCUAAAUAUUGGCUCCGGUAGACCACCUGUAAAACAACUGUCGCCUCAGCCUCCGAAGGCCGGAGGGUGGCAUUCGCAAACCAGGGUGCCCCAUGGAAGAUCUCGGGCCAUUCCUCCAGGAAGGGCUUCGACAAGGAAAGUGACGGGCUGAAGAUUAGAUACAACAUUGAUUCAUGAUGGUGCUCGAGUAUGCUGCCCUUCGUGUCUGGCUAAAUUUGAGAAGAGUGAAAUACCUGAAUCUGACACGGCGCAGCUCUCUGGUGCCAUCAGCUAGUUGUCUGAUGGUUAUAUACACCCCGGGUUCAUCUUCUUCUAUCCAUUCUGAAUCCACUUCACUGGCAUUGCUAACUGAAACUGCUGGCUCAUCUCUAGAGUCAGUCGUCAUCCGUGAUGGUUCCAUAGAAGACAUUGGGGGGCCACCACCACCACCAUAACCACUUGAGCUAGGUUUAUAGUAAUUCCUUGAUGCAGGAGCUAUCAUAGGGCUCUCCCUUAUUGACAGCCGGGAAUAAGUAGAAUCUCUCUGUAUAUAUAUACAUAUAAAAGAUUGUAAAAUUUGUAAGCUUAAGUAAAUCUGGUUCACAGUUUGUAAUUCUGUAAGGUGAAGCUCAAUUUACCCCA